rnacentral:lncRNA from 1 species
AUCAAAAUAAUUUUUAUUUUGUUUUGUUUAUUUUUGUGUUAAAGCGUUUGAAAGAUACCAAAGCUACAUUUAUAUUUUACCCUUAAAAAGAGAUAGUUUACAGAGGGGUGCAUUAAAUUCUUAGAAUGAUAUUAUUACUACUGUAGGUUAAAUUUUUGAGGUAUUCGAUAGACUAUGAAAUUUGUGCAUUGAUUCAGUGAUUUUUGCCAAUUGUCUAGUAUUUUAUAGUACAUAUGUUCCUGUUUUCAGAGGUAAAUAAGAUAAUUGCUUGAUUCCUAAAUCUGAAAUUAUAUAAAGUAUCUCUCUCAUUGGUCUUUGCAUUACUUCUUCCUUGACCUGAAGUUUUGUGUUCUUUCGUGUUAAUCUUCAUCUUCAUCCAAAGUCAUUCUUUUUGGCAUCUUGCCCACAUCUAUGCUUUUAAAAUGUUUUUAAUCAGUGAAGAAAAUUAGAAUGUUAACAAUGGUGACAUAAAAUGGGAAAAUGCAGACUGGAGUCUAUAAAACUCUGACACCUAGGAGAAUCAGAGCUGUAGAGAAGAGACUAGCCAGCAGAGCCAGACUUUGAGACAUAUAGCCAAAAAAAAUUAUUAGAGAUAAAAUGAUAAUUAAUGAAGUAUGCUGUGGGAAAGUCAACUUUCUGAAACAUGAAUGCCAAAAGACAGAACAAAUAAUUUAAGAGUAUCAGGAAAAAGCUCUAGAUUUACUUUAAAAGAAAGAUCUGCAUUUAGAGCUAGGUAGUAUUUAACAUGCUUUACAAAACACAUUGUUAAAGUCUUAGACUUACAAAUCUGAAUGUUUCCAAUCAAUGAACUGUGUUGGGAUUUUGGGUUUUGAUUGGAUUUAAAUUUCACCAUGUGUUAAUAUGGGAAGAGUUGACAUAAUAGUGAGGCCUCUUACUCAUGAAUGUAGUUUAUUUACUUCUCUGUUUAUUUAGGCCUUUAAAUCUUCAUAAUUUUCUGCACAUCUGUUUUAAAUGCAUUUUAAUCUUGUUAUAAUUUUUUACCUAUUGUCUUAGUUACGGUUUUACUGCUGUGAACAGACACCAUGACCAAGGCAAGUCUUAUAAAAAACAACAUUUAAUUGGGGCUGGCUUACAGGUUCAGAGGUUCAGUCCAUUAUCAUCAAAGAGGGAGCAUGGCAGUAUCCAGGCAGGCAUGGCACAGGAGGAGCUGAGAGUUCUAUGUCUUCAUCCAAAGGCUGCUAGUGGAAGACUGACUUUCAACUAGGGUGAGGAUCUUAUACCCACACCCACAGUGACACACCCAUUCCAACCAGGUCACACCUAUUCCAACAAGGCCACACCUUCAGAUGGUGCCACUCCCUGGUCCAAGGAUAUACAAACCAUCACACCCAUGUUAUUUGUAUUUCAUUUAUAUUUUAUUUUUGUUUCUAUUAUUCGAAAUGUACGU